rnacentral:rRNA from 1 species
GACGAACGCUGGCGGUGUGCUUAACACAUGCAAGUCGAACGGAAAGGCCCUGCUUUUGUGGGGUGCUCGAGUGGCGAACGGGUGAGUAACACGUGAGUAACCUGCCCUUGACUUUGGGAUAACUUCAGGAAACUGGGGCUAAUACCGGAUAGGAGCUCCUGCUGCAUGGUGGGGGUUGGAAAGUUUCGGCGGUUGGGGAUGGACUCGCGGCUUAUCAGCUUGUUAGUGGGGUAGUGGCUUACCAAGGCUUUGACGGGUAGCCGGCCUGAGAGGGUGACCGGCCACAUUGGGACUGAGAUACGGCCCAGACUCCUACGGGAGGCAGCAGUGGGGAAUAUUGCACAAUGGGCGGAAGCCUGAUGCAGCAACGCCGCGUGCGGGAUGACGGCCUUCGGGUUGUAAACCGCUUUCGCCUGUGACGAAGCGUGAGUGACGGUAAUGGGUAAAGAAGCACCGGCUAACUACGUG